rnacentral:rRNA from 1 species
GAUGAACGCUGGCGGCGUGCUUAACACAUGCAAGUCGAACGAAGCACUUUAUUUGAUUUCCUUCGGGACUGAUUAUUUUGUGACUGAGUGGCGGACGGGUGAGUAACGCGUGGGUAACCUGCCUUGUACAGGGGGAUAACAGUUGGAAACGGCUGCUAAUACCGCAUAAGCGCACGGCAUCGCAUGAUGCAGUGUGAAAAACUCCGGUGGUAUAAGAUGGACCCGCGUUGGAUUAGCUAGUUGGUGAGGUAACGGCCCACCAAGGCGACGAUCCAUAGCCGACCUGAGAGGGUGACCGGCCACAUUGGGACUGAGACACGGCCCAAACUCCUACGGGAGGCAGCAGUGGGGAAUAUUGCACAAUGGGCGAAAGCCUGAUGCAGCGACGCCGCGUGAGCGAAGAAGUAUUUCGGUACGUAAAGCUCUAUCAGCAGGGAAGAUAAUGACGGUACCUGACUAAGAAGCACCGG